UUACUUACCUGGCAGGGGAGACACCGUGAUCAGGCAGGUGGUUUUCCCAGGGCAAGGCUCAUUCUUUGCACUCCGGGUAUGCUGGCCCCUGCGAUUUCCCCAACUGUGGGAAACUCAGCUGCAUAAUUUAUGAUAGUGGAGGACUGUGUUUGUGCUCUCCCCUG